rnacentral:rRNA from 1 species
UACGUAGGUGGCAAGCGUUGUUCGGAAUUAUUGGGCGUAAAGGGCGCGUAGGCGGUUUGUUAAGUCAGCUGUGAAAGCCCGGGGCUCAACCUCGGAGGGUCAGCUGAUACUGGCAGGCUAGAGUACAGAAGAGGUAACUGGAAUUCCCGGUGUAGCGGUGAAAUGCGUAGAUAUCGGGGGGAACACCUGAGGCGAAGGCGGGUCUCUGGGCCGAUACUGACGCUGAGGAGCGAAAGCGUGGGGAGCGAACAGG